CAAUAUUUAUUUCCUACCUGCACAUAGAUACAUUGAUAAAUAAAUAAAAUGCCCAAACUUCACACCAAAAAAAUGCCCAAUAUUUAUCAUUUAAAAAAUCUCAAAUCUAAUUAGCAACACGAGAAGUUCAAACCUUAAAGCUUAAAAAUGAAAUUAAAAUUUACAAGUAGAAUUAUUAAGGGGCAUUUUGUCGACACGUUUUAAAUCUAACUCAUAUCUGAGCUAAAUUU
rnacentral:lncRNA from 1 species